rnacentral:rRNA from 1 species
UACGAAGGGUGCAAGCGUUAAUCGGAAUUACUGGGCGUAAAGCGCGCGUAGGUGGUUCAGUAAGUUGGAAGUGAAAUCCCCGGGCUCAACCUGGGAACUGCUUUCAAAACUGCUGAGCUAGAGUACGGUAGAGGGUGGUGGAAUUUCCUGUGUAGCGGUGAAAUGCGUAGAUAUAGGAAGGAACACCAGUGGCGAAGGCGACCCCCUGGACUGAUACUGACACUGAGGUGCGAAAGCGUGGGGAGCAAACAGG